rnacentral:lncRNA from 1 species
GAACCUGAUAUAGAAGAAGCUUUGGAAAUGCCAGCCGGUCCAAUAACUCGAUCAAGGAGCAAGAAACUUAAGGAAGCUAUCGGAGCUAUGCUUAGAACCAGUUGGAGACGAGCUAAUGUCUUGAGCCAGGAGGGAGAAGUUGCUAUACAAGCCGCAUUGGUUUCUAUACAGGCUCAAGAUGAUCAGUGAAUGGGCAUGUGACCCGUUUGCACUCUUUUUCCCUCUCCUUUGGUUUUGUCCCAAUGGAUUUUCCAAAGGGAGGUUUUUAAUGAGACAAACGGCUCACAUCAUAUCCCUCAUUUUCUGAUCCAACAGAGGCCCAACACUUGAAGUAUCGGCCUGGAGAAGAAGAGUUUCUUUCUUGUUUCUUCCUUAUUCAAACUUAGUCUUUAUUGUCUUAGUUAUUUCCGAGACAAGUCUUGGCUGUCACUGAUAACACCGUAUUUUGACCACUUUUAUGGAUCGUUUUGAAAUACUUUUUAUAUGUUUUUAAUUGCUUUUAAGUACUUUUAUCACGUUUUUCUAGUAUUUGUAGUUCCAAGACUCUUUUCAGGUAACUUAGGGAAAAGCUUAACAAAAUGGAUAGAAAACCAGAUUUCAGCUCAGAGUCAAAUCGUCAGAAGUUCACCCCUGAUUGAAGGCCUUCUCACCGUCUGAUCCAGCUCAAACUUGGAGACCUAAAAGAUGGAAGUAUCAGCUUUCCAGUGCACUUUACAGCUUGGCAAUCCAACGGUUCAAUCAAAAGAUACGCGAAUAUCAAGAUGUCCCGUAAACCAGCUGGCUAGCACUUCCACCCGCGGCCAACAAGCGUUUUCCCGCAAAACCACUCAUCCACCGCGGUCACACUUGUCCCGACCGUGGCCUUCAACCUCCAAGCCCAAAAAGCCCAUUUCUGAAGCCCACAUUUGGAGAAACCCUAAGUGACGUCCAGAGAGGUCUUGAGCACUAUAAAUACAUGUCUUAGGAGCCCUAGAAAUCGUGUGUAACCUUAGAGAACCGAAUUAUUUACUUCAUAAUUUCAUUGUUUUUGCUUUAGCUUUUAGGGAGAGAGAGAUUUGUUCUCUUGAACCCUUGUUCUUUCUUUUUCAAUUUCGGUUUCUAUUAUACUUCUUAAUAUUAUGUCUUUGAUUUCGUUCAUUAUGUCUGAGUAGUUUUAUUGUUGGGAUUAAGGGAUUUUCGAUGGGGAUUUAUAUGUUCUAUGAGGAUUCCAUUGGCUAUUGAGCUGAAUCUUAGAACUUUUUCUUCUGAAUUCGUUUUUACUGCAUGAGAGUAGCGUCAUGAACUAUAAUCUGAUCCAGAUGCUUGGUGACACGAAAGUGUUCAUCAGGUAUCAGAUCUAGUUUGGGAGAGCAAAACAAACAUAGGAGUGGAAACCUACCUAUGGGCGAUUUGUGAAUUAGGACGAGUCUUAAACAUAAUGCAUCUCUUCUCUUCCAGGGCCAGAGUGGAAACCUACUGGUCAGGGUUAAGAGAGAUAGUUGUCUAUGAUCACGACAGUGGCGUAUUCAUACGUCCGUGACUCCAGUUCGAAAAGUUUAAGCUAAGAUCUUACAAAAUUUCUUCUCUAGCAAUGUUUUGAAUCGUUCGUACCCCUGAGAAAACUUCCCUGAAGCCCAACGCUUUCUUCUCCAUUGAUUUCCUGCGAUUUUCUUUAAGCUUUAGUUCAAUAUUGUCUUUUUUUUUUAGUUCAUUUUCAUUUAAGCAUUAGAAUAUCCGUUUUUAUCAUUUUUAGUUAUUUUCGUUAAGUUUAGUUAUUACGCCAUUUAAUUUCCGUACUCUCUUUUAAUAUUUCGUUUUUACAUUUUAAAGACACCACCAAACCCCCACUAAACCGUUUUUGUUCUAGACAUCCUUACUUUACUUAUUUCAAAGGUUUUUUGCAGUAAAAGAUCCUCCUUCCCUGUGGAUUCGAUCCCUAAGUACUACAAUUGAUCAGCUGUGCACUUGCGGCUAUCGAUUUCAAUUAGGGUAAAACUUGACAACCCUCAGCACACCACACAUCAGUCACAGACUUGUUCUCUUUCUUUUUAAACCCUUGUACGCUCCUUGUUAAACUCAUCUAUCUUUUCUAUCAAAAACUCUUUCUAAGUUAGAUCAUUUGUUCUCUUGAACAUCUUAGCUUGUGAGUGUGUUAUAUCUUUCAAGCAAACCGAUUCUUUGGUGUGUCAUAUCCAUCGAAUCACCCUGGUAUAUCAAAGGCCUUCCGCAUCCUUUGUGUGACCUAUCAAUCCCUCAGUUUCUAUUCAAAGUUCAUACCCAAGUCUUACCCAAACCAAGAGAUCUAGUGCUUAGAGUGAAGAUCUAAAGAAGGAACGUAUCAAGUGGUAUCAAGCCACUCAAAGCAAGGAUCGACGUGGAUCAGGUUGUGUCUAAUCUAUUUAUACGCUUAGAUCCGUUCUUAUGUCAAAAGAAGCGAUCUCAAACUUUAACUUUGAUCAGCAAACAUAGCUUAUCAUAAUCUGUGCUUGUUGCAUCACAAACCUAUAGAUCGUUUCAUUCUGUUAUUGAAUCUAGUAAAUCAACAUCAUCGGAACCUUGUGUAAAAAGUGUCGAUUCAAAUUCAAAACUGAUUAGAUCGCUCGUAGGGUUUCCUGAUUGCUUGAAGAACACGAAUGGUCAUUUUUAUAGAGUCAAAGAAUCGUUGCUAGUGAUCCACUUUGUGUUGUUCGCAGGAAAAGAUGUCUGAUAAUUGUGAAGAGUCCAGCAACAACAAUAACAAACUAUUGAUGGAAGCAAUGAUGGCCGAGAUGAAAAAGCUGAUGGCCGCUCAGUUCGAAGAAUUUAGACAAGAGAUCUAACAUCAGAACUCUGACUCAAGGCCGAACCGAGAUGCAAGGAGGAGGAAUAAUGAUCAAUCUCCGGAGAGGGCUCGUGAACAAACCCGACCAGCUAGAGACGAAGCGGUUGAGGAGUAUUAUAGCCAAGACAGUAGCUCGUCAAGGAGUAAUCACCGACGAUAUAGACGAGUAAGAGAGGAAAAGGCUUAUCCUCAAGAAAAUUUUGGAGGGCUUAAGCUUCGGAUUCCUCCUUUCCAUGGGAAGAACGAUCCUGAUGCCUACCUAGAAUGGGAAAAAAAAUAGAGUUGGUGUUUAACUGACAACACUAUACCGAGAUCAAUCGCGUAAGAGUUGCUGCUACUGAGUUUUAUGACUACGCUCUUAGCUGGUGGGAUCAGUUAGUUACAUCAAGAAGAAGGAACGGCGAGUACCCGGUUGAGAGUUGGAAUGAGAUGAAAGCUAUCAUGAGAAAACGAUUUGUGCCAAGCCAUUAUCAUCGAGAACUACAUCAGAGGAUCAGGAGGCUUACUCAAGGGACCCGGUCUGUCGAAGACUAUUACCAAGAGAUGGAGACUCUCAUGCUUAGAGCCGAUAUAACUGAAGAUCUAGAAGCUACCAUGUCGAGGUUUUUGGGGGGGCUUGAACAGAGAAAUUCAAGACCGGUUGGAAAUGCAACACUAUGUUGAGGUGGAGGAGAUGCUACACAAAUCCAUACUGAUCGAACAACAACUCAAGAGGCGUGUUCCCACUAAGACAAGCUAUGGAGGUGGAGCAACCGUUACUAAAUCCAUUUACCCGAAAGAAGAAAAAGCAGGAUCUUUUCAGAGAGAAGAAAAGCAGAUCGCCUACCCAAAAGCUGAAGCCAAGUCGUAUCCAGUUUCUCAAGAUCACAAAGGAAAGGCAGAAACUACUAAUCCAAGGUCAAGAGAUGUCAAGUGCUUUAAGUGUCAAGGCAGGGGACAUUACGCGAAUGAAUGUUCAAAUCGAAAGAACAUAAUUUUGUUGGAUAAUGGAGACAUAGCGUCUGAUGAGGAAGAGUCUGAGGUCGCAGCUGAGACAGAUCAUGAGGAGCUUCCGGCUCAAGGAACUUUAUUAGUGGCUAGACGGUCUUUAAGUCUCCAAUCCAAAUACGCUGAGCAGGAACAAAGAGAGAACCUGUUUCACACCCGGUGUAUCGUUCAAGGAAAAGUCUGUAGCCUCAUUAUAGAUGGGGGAAGCUGCACCAACGUGGCUAGUGAAGUGAUGGUUCAAAAGCUCGGCUUAAAGAUGGAGAAGCACCCAAAGCCGUAUAAGCUGCAAUGGCUCAAUGACAAUGGAGAACUGAAAGUGAAUCACCAAGUUCGAGUACCUUUAACCAUUGGAAAAUAUGAAGAUGAGAUACUCUGUGAUGUCUUACCAAUGGAAGCAGGGCAUAUUCUCCUUGGCAGGCCAUGGCAAUCAGAUCGAAAGGUCAUACAUGAUGGAUAUACUAAUCGACAUUCCUUUGUUUAUAAUGGCAGGAAAACUACCCUGGUGCCGUUGUCGCCUCAAGAAGUUUACCAGGAUCAAGUACAGCUAAAGCAAAAGGAAAAACCGGUCACAAAACCCUCUAACUUCUUUCUUAGGGCUGGUAAAGUUAAGAAAGCUUUGUUAGCUAAACAACCGAUGCUUUUAUUGGUGUUUAAGGAAGCUCUCACGAGCUUAACUAACUUGACACCGGUUUGCAGGACUAUGAGGACGUGUUUCCUGAAGAGAACCCCAAGGGUUUAUCUCCCAUUAGAGGAAUCAAACAUCAAAUAGAUUUCAUGCCCGGAGCUUCUCUUCCAAAUCAUCCAGCCUAUAGAACCAACCCUGUGGAGACCAAAGAAUUACAGCGCCAAGUUAAUGAGCUAUUGGAGAAAGGGUACAUAAGAGAAAGCUUGAGUCCUUGCGCGGUACCUGUUCUACUUGUGCCUAAGAAAGACGGCAGCUGGCGCAUGUGUGUUGAUUGUAGAGCAAUCAACAACAUUACGGUUAAAUAUCGACACCCUAUCCCUAGAUUAGAUGAUAUGCUUGAUGAAUUGCAUGGUUCUAGUAUCUUUUCUAAGAUAUAUUUGAAAAAUGGCUAUCAUCAGAUUAGAAUGAAGGAAGGGGAUGAGUGGAAAACCGCCUUUAAAAUUAAGCAUGGUUUAUAUGAAUGGUUAGUUAUGCCGUUUGGGCUAACAAAUGCACCUAGCACCUUCAUGCGGUUAAUGAAUCAUAUUCUUAGAGCUUUUAUACGUGUAUUUGUUGUGGUUUAUUUUGAUGACAUUCUGAUCUAUAGCAAAACCCUAGGAAAGCAUAUUGAGCAUUUGAAAUCUGUUUUAGAAGUGCUUAGGAAGGAAAAGCUCUUUGCUAAUCUUAAGAAAUGCACGUUUUGCACAGAUAAUCUUGUGUUUCUAGGUUUUGUUGUAGGUGCCGAUGGGAUAAGAGUCGAUGAAGAGAAGAUAAGGGCAAUCAAAGACUGGCCGAGCCCUAAAACUGUUGGAGAAGUGAGGAGUUUCCACGGCCUUGCGGGCUUUUAUAGGAGAUUCGUGAAGGAUUUCAGUACAUUGGCCGCUCCCCUGACCGAGAUCAUCAAGAAAUAUGUGGGAUUUAAGUGGGAACAAGCACAAGAAGAAGCGUUUCAAAUACUUAAGGAUAAACUAACCAAUGCACCAGUACUUGUUUUACCUGAUUUCCUUAAGACUUUUGAGAUUGCAUGUGAUGCUUCUGGUGUAGGAAUUGGAGCAGUAUUGAUGCAAGACAAGAAACCAGUGGCCUACUUUAGUGAAAAGCUCGGAGGAGCAACGCUGAACUAUCCUACUUACGAUAAAGAACUCUAUGCUUUGGUGCGAGCACUUCAAACGUGGCAACAUUAUCUGUGGCCCAAAGAAUUUGUCAUUCAUACCGAUCAUGAGUCUCUCAAGCACUUAAAAGGACAGCAAAAGCUCAACAAAAGACAUGGCCGAUGGAUUGAGUUCAUUGAGACAUUUUGUUAUGUUAUUAAGUACAAAAAAGGUAAAGACAAUGUAGUUGCCGAUGCAUUGUCACGCAGGUAUGCUCUAAUCACCACUCUUGAUGCUAAGCUAUUAGGCUUUGAACAGCUUAAGCUUCUCUAUGCAUCCGAUUCUGACUUUAAAGAGAAAUACCAGUCUUGUGAAAAAUUUGCUAAGGAUCAUUAUUUUAGACAAGAUGGAUAUCUCUUCUAUGAUAAUCGUUUGUGCAUUCCUAAUUGUUCUAUUGGAGACCUUUUAGUCAGGGAAGCACACAGAGGAGGUCUUAUGGGGCACUUUGGUGUAACAAAGACUUUGAAAAUCAUGCAAGACCACUUCUAUUGGCCGCAUAUGAAAAGAGACGUCGAGAAGAUCUGCGAACGAUGCGUCACUUGUAAACAAGCUAAGUCCAAAGUCAGGCCACACGGUUUGUAUACUCCAUUACCUAUUCCCUCUCAUCAUUGGAUUGAUAUAUCUAUGAUUUUGUGCUUGGAUUGCCUAGGACUAGGACGGGGAAGGAUUCUAUAUUUUUUGUGGUAGACAGGUUUUCAAAAAUGGCUCAUUUUAUAGCUUGUAACAAAACCGAUGAUGCAUCUCAUAUAGCUAGCUUGUUCUUUAAAGAAGUUGUGCGUCUGCAUGGAAUGCCUAAGACCAUCGUAUCUGAUUGUGAUACUAAGUUUCUUAGUUAUUUUUGGAAAACGUUGUGGUCUAAGUUAGGUACUAAAAUUCUAUUUUCUACUACUUGUCAUCCACAAACUGAUGGGCAGACUGAAGUAGUCAAUAGGACCUUAUCAACCUUGUUGCGUGUUCUGGUCAAAAAGAAUCUUAAAAGUUGGGAAGAUUGCUUACCGCAUGUAGAAUUUGCAUAUAAUCACUCGAUGCAUUCUACUUCUAAGUUUUCUCCAUUUCAAAUUGUCUAUGGUUUUAGUCCUUUGUCUCUUUUGGAUCUAACCCCUCUUCCUUUGUGCGAAAGAACUAGUCUCGAUGGAAAGAAGAAGGCAGAACUUGUUAAACAGAUCCAUGAGAAGGCUAAACUCAACAUAGAAGAAAAGACCAAGCUCUAUGCCAAGAAAGCAAAUAAGAACCGACAAGAAAUGAUUUUCGAAGUUGGCGAUCAAGUUUGGGUACAUUUGAGGAAAAAACGAUUCCCAGCCGAGAGAAAGUCCAAGUUGAUGCCAAGAAUUGAUGGACCUUUCACCAUAACAAGAAGAAUCAACAACAACGAUUAUCAGCUUGAUCUCCAAGGUAAGUACAAUAUCAGUUCUAGUUUUAAUGUUUCUGAUCUCGUUCCUUUUGUGGCAGAUGAACCAGAUUUGAGGUCAAAUCCUUUUCAAGAGGAGGGGGAUGAUGCGAUCAUGGACAGCCUAGAGAACUUGGAACUUGGAGCUGAAGAAGUUGGACUCGAAGAACAAGGAGAACCUGAUAUAGAAGAAGCUUUGGAAAUGCCAGCCGGUCCAAUAACUCGAUCAAGGAGCAAGAAACUUAAGGAAGCUAUCGGAGCUAUGCUUAGAACCAGUUGGAGACGAGCUAAUGUCUUGAGCCAGGAGGAGAAGUUGCUAUACAAGCCGCAUUGGUUUCUAUACAGGCUCAAGAUGAUCAGUGAAUGGGCAUGUGACCCGUUUGCACUCUUUUUCCCUCUCUUUUGGUUUUGUCCCAAUGGGUUUUCCAAAGGGAGGUUUUUAAUGAGACAAACGGCUCACAUCAUAUCCCUCAUUUUCUGAUCCAACAGAGGCCCAACACUUGAAGUAUCG